GUCCAACAGUUGAUUCGAAGCUAAAAUACCCAUUAAACACUCAAUAGUCUCCCACCAAAGGAAAUAUCCGAAAAUUUAAGUACUAAAGAAGAAAACAACACAACACAAAUAACCGUAAGGAAAUUAAUAAACUACCCUAAGAAGCACUACCCCUUCCUUUUGCAUAAUGAUCUCACAAGAAAUCAAACUUAAUUAAAAAGAAAACCCGAAACCACUAGAGCUAAUUAUUAGCAUGUUCCAAGACACAACCCAUUAUUGUUGCAAAAAUAUGGGAAGACUAAUAAUUAGAAAGCGAAACACAAACCGAUAGUGGUGAUAUCUGGUUCUCUGAGAACAGACUAAAUCUCAUCGUGCUACAUAGCACUAUGCUGUCCCCUCCGAAUAUUCGGAGGGGACCACAAGGAAACAACCUGAAAACUUAGGCCCGAUAUAGACCUAAAAACACACAGUAGGCUUUGAAACAGCCAACUAAAAACGUAAAAGUUAACAAACAAUCAAACAAACCAACCUAAAAUACACACCAGAGCAAACAAAAUAACAAGACACUGUAAGAAUAAGUAAUUAUACUACCACUCUAAUUUUAAAACUCUAAAGAAAAUAUAUUACAAGACAAUCUACCAUUAAGAGUAAAACCAAUUUAGGCGGUAAACCAAACAACUCAAUAGAGGGAAGGAACUCGGCUAAAUGGCUUCGACUGUUUACCAAAAACACCGCCUUUUGAAACUCCGAUAAAAGGUCACUCCUGCCCAGUGUUAUUAAGCUAAAACGAUAAUAAACGGCCGCGGUACCCUAACCGUGCAAAGGUAGCAUAAUCACUUGCCCCUUAAUUAGGGGAUAGUAUGAAAGGAAUAACGAGAGCCACACUGUCUCCCCCCUACAAAAAUGAAAUUUCUAAUUACGUGCCAAUGCGUAAACAAAAAAGAAAGACAAGAAGACCCUGUCGAGCUUGAACAAACACGAGAUUAAAACUCUCGACCUUUUGUUUUGGUUGGGGCAACCAGGGAGAAAAAAGAAACCUCCUAAAAAAUAAAAUAACCAUUUUAAACACAAAUGACCCAUAAACGAUUAAAGAACAAAGUUACCGCAGGGAUAACAGCAUUAUCCUCUAAAAGAGUCCUCAUCUAAUAGAGGGUUUGUGACCUCGAUGUUGGAUCAUUAAAUCUCCUCGGCGCAGAAGUUGAGAAAGAAGGUCUGUUCGACCUUUAAUAAAUUACGUGAUCUGAGUUCAGACCGGCGCAAGCCAGGUCGGCUUCUAUCUCCUAAAAAGAUUUUUUAGUACGAAAGGACCAAAUAAUCGACGGACUCUGACAGCAUUAUCUCCGUAAAUAAAUCAUCAUAGGACACACACUAACCCGCUCAAAUAGUUUUAAAUUUAAAACAUUAGUCUUGUAA
rnacentral:rRNA from 1 species